rnacentral:rRNA from 1 species
UACGGAGGGUGCGAGCGUUGUCCGGAAUCACUGGGCGUAAAGGGCGCGUAGGCGGCAGGCCAAGCGUGAGGUGAAAGUCCGGGGCUCAACCCCGGAUCUGCCGUGCGGACUGGUUUGCUGGAGCACUGUAGAGGCGAGUGGAAUUCCCGGUGUAGCGGUGAAAUGCGUAGAGAUCGGGAGGAACAUCAGUGGCGAAGGCGGCCAUCUGGGACAACACUGACGCUGAGGCACGAAAGCGUGGGGAGCAAACAGG